CCUACGGGGUGCAGCAGUGGGGGAUAUUGCACAAUGGGGGAAACCCUGAUGCAGCGACGCCGCGUGAGUGAAGAAGUAUUUCGGUAUGUAAAGUUCUAUCAGCAGGGAAGAAAAUGACAGUACCUGACAAAGAAGCCCUGGCUAACUACGUGCCAGCAGCCGCGGUAAUACGGAGGGUGCGAGCGUUAAUCGGAAUUACUGGGCGUAAAGCGGUCGUAGGCGGUAAGUCAAGUCCAUGGUGAAAUCCCCGCGCUCAACGUGGGAACUGCCUUUGAAACUGGCAAACUGGAGUGUGUGAGAGGAUAGUGGAAUUACAGGUGUAGCAGUGAAAUGCGUAGAUAUCUGGAGGAACAUCAGUGGCGAAGGCGACUAUCUGGCACAUUACUGACGCUGAGGAGCGAAAGCGUGGGUAGCAAACAGGAUUAGAUACCCGUGUAGUC
rnacentral:rRNA from 1 species